GACGAACGCUGGCGGCGUGCUUAAUACAUGCAAGUCGAGCGAGGCCCAUCCGGUGGCAACACCGGGGAAGGCCGAGCGGCGAACGGGUGAGUAACACGUGAGCAACCUGCCCCGAAGUCUGGAAUAACAUCGGGAAACCGGUGCUAAUACCGGAUCGCCCCACCUGACCGCAUGAUCGGGUGAGGAAAGAUUUAUCGCUUCGGGAGGGGCUCGCGGCCUAUCAGCUAGUUGGUGGGGUAACGGCCUACCAAGGCGUCGACGGGUAGCUGGUCUGAGAGGACGACCAGCCACACUGGGACUGAGACACGGCCCAGACUCCUACGGGAGGCAGCAGUAGGGAAUCUUGCGCAAUGGGCGGAAGCCUGACGCAGCAACGCCGCGUGGGGAUGACGGCCUCGGUUGUAACCC
rnacentral:rRNA from 1 species